CAGCCACAUCACAUUGAAACACCAUUUCCUGUAUGAUCACCAGAGUUAAGCAACAUCAAGCUUGGUCAGUACCUAGAUGGGUGACCACUUGGGAAUACCAUGUGCUGUAA